UGGGGAAUCUUGCACAAUGGGCGAAAGCCUGAUGCAGCAACGCCGCGUGCGGGAAGACAGCCCUAGGGUUGUAAACCGCUUUCAGCAGGGAAGAAACUGACGGUACCUGCAGAAGAAGAUGCGGCCAACUACGUGCCAGCAGCCGCGGUGACACGUAGGCAUCAAGCGUUAUCCGGAUUUAUUGGGCGUAAAGAGCUCGUAGGCGGUUCGGUAAGUCGGGUGUGAAAACUCUGGGCUCAACCCAGAGAGGCCACUCGAUACUGCUGUGACUAGAGUGCGGUAGGGGAGCGGGGAAUUCCUGGUGUAGCGGUGAAAUGCGCAGAUAUCAGGAGGAACACCAGUGGCGAAGGCGCCGCUCUGGGCCGUAACUGACGCUGAGGAGCGAAAGCAUGGGUAGCAAACAGGAUUAGAUACCCUGGUAGUCCAUGCCGUAAACGUUGGGCACUAGGUGUGGGUCUCAACCAACGAGAUCCGCGCCGUCGCUAACGCAUUAAGUGCCCGCCUGGGAGUACGGUCGCAAGACU
rnacentral:rRNA from 1 species